UACGAAGGGAGCUAGCGUUGCUCGGAAUCACUGGGCGUAAAGCGCACGUAGGCGGGUCGUUAAGUCGGGGGUGAAAUCCUGGAGCUCAACUCCAGAACUGCCUUCGAUACUGGCGAUCUUGAGUCUGGGAGAGGUGAGUGGAACUCCGAGUGUAGAGGUGAAAUUCGUAGAUAUUCGGAAGAACACCAGUGGCGAAGGCGGCUCACUGGCCCGGUACUGACGCUGAGGUGCGAAAGCGUGGGGAGCAAACAGG
rnacentral:rRNA from 1 species